rnacentral:rRNA from 1 species
UAGCCUGAACCAGCCAAGUAGCGUGAAGGAUGAAGGCUCUAUGGGUCGUAAACUUCUUUUAUAUAAGAAUAAAGUGCAGUAUGUAUACUGUUUUGUAUGUAUUAUAUGAAUAAGGAUCGGCUAACUCCGUGCCAGCAGCCGCGGUAAUACGGAGGAUCCGAGCGUUAUCCGGAUUUAUUGGGUUUAAAGGGAGCGUAGGUGGACUGGUAAGUCAGUUGUGAAAGUUUGCGGCUCAACCGUAAAAUUGCAGUUGAUACUGUCAGUCUUGAGUACAGUAGAGGUGGGCGGAAUUCGUGGUGUAGCGGUGAAAUGCUUAGAUAUCACGAAGAACUCCGAUUGCGAAGGCAGCUCACUGGACUGCAACUGACACUGAUGCUCGAAAGUGUGGGUAUCAAACAGGAUUAGAUACCCUGGUAGUCCACACAGUAAACGAUGAAUACUCGCUGUUUGCGAUAUACAGUAAGCGGCCAAGCGAAAGCAUUAAGUAUUCCACCUGGGGAGUACGCCGGCAACGGUGAAACUCAAAGGAAUUGACGGGGGCCCGCACAAGCGGAGGAACAUGUGGUUUAAUUCGAUGAUACGCGAGGAACCUUACCCGGGCUUAAAUUGCAGUGGAAUGAUGUGGAAACAUGUCAGUGAGCAAUCACCGCUGUGAAGGUGCUGCAUGGUUGUCGUCAGCUCGUGCCGUGAGGUGUCGGCUUAAGUGCCAUAACGAGCGCAACCCUUAUCUU